AGAGAGAGAGAGAGAGAGAUAAUAUGGUAGAGAGGAAAGUGAAUGACUUUGUUACUCCGCCCGAAAAUGUGGUGGGAGGGUCCUGAAAUGAGAUGUAUGAGCGCAGCGGCGAGUUGGGACGCGUCUUUGGAGAUAAUAGGUGGAGGAGAGGACACUGUGUAACUACACGUUGUUAUCCCUCUCUUAAGGAGAUCCACAGACUUAUCCACCGGGUUUCCAGGCAUUAAGUCGGCGGAGGAGUCUCAGUGGGUUUGUUGACUUGCGGUCUCGUUGUCAUCGGACAGCCUGCCGUCCAUCCAAUGUGCGUAAAAGGGCUCUGUUUGCUCACCGUCCUGUCUGGACUCGCAGCUUCAGGCAUGCUGCAGGUCAGCGGGAUGUAUGUAUACACAUCUGGGGAUGUGGAGGCAGUUAACGGGACGGAUGUCCGUUUAAAAUGCACAUUUCAGAGUAGCGCCUCCAUCAACCCCGAUUCCAUUGUCAUCUCCUGGAGCUUCAGACCCCUGAAACCAGGCAGAGAACAGUCGGUGUUCCACUACCAGCAGAAACCAUAUCCUCCGUUAGAAGGCAUUUUCAGGAAGCGUGUCAGCUGGGCCGGUGAUGUCAUGGGCCGAGACGCCUCCAUCAUUCUUCAACAGGUCAAGUUCACCUACAAUGGUACUUACAUCUGCCAGGUUAAGAAUCCGCCGGAUGUCCACGGCACGGUUGGAGAGAUUCGAUUUCGUGUCGUCACCACAGGUCCUUCUCGAAACCAAGUUGGAUUACAUUUGCUUUCCGAGUGUGAGACAUGCUCCUUCGGUGCUCACUGAAAACGUUUUUCAGUGUGGAAAAAGAGUUCUCACAUAAAGCUGUCGAAGCUCCAAAGGCGGUGCAAGACGAAACCACCUGAGACAGCUGGAAGGGAACGAGGGAGGCUCCUCGCAAAGAGAGAGAAAAGACCCCCACUGUGUGCCAUCCAGGUAGGGCCCUCCACCUCUACCUAUCAGAGACGUCCAUGGAGAUUGACAGUUCAGAUGGCAUGAUUUCAGAAGCCAGCACCAAAGACCCCAGCUCCUCAGAGAGUGAGGGCCCAAGCUCAGACGAAGAGGAAGAUGAUGACGACUCCGACUGAGGAUGUGGGGAAAAACAGUGCGACAGAAACACUUCAACUAUCCAGGAGGCUCGCUGGUUGGAUGCCCAGAUGGCACCCGUGGAUUACGUACCAUGGUUCUGCUGAUUGGAGAAUAGAUGGAGAGAGCGCUUCUGCUGAGUCAAAAAUGAGCCAGUUGUUCAAGAAUGGAAGGAAAACGGAAAGAAAGUUAUGUUUGAAAGUUUCUGAAUAAAAAUAAAGAAAUUAGAGCGAUAAAGAUCAAAGCUUUGAAAGAGGAUCAAAAGUAGAGUAGCUUCACUUUUAAGAGAGCCCAGAAAUCAUGAAGCUGGCUUGGCAACUGUCCUGAAGGGAAAACAGGCCAACGACUCCCUGUUGUUUCAGACAUGGCUGGUGCUAAGUUUAGGUAGUCACUAGCAAAAUAAGCUGCAGCAUGCAACUGGAGGAAGUAAGAAUGACGUUUUUCUGCCACGAUGAGUCACAUAAAGACCUUGACAUUUUUGAAGGUGCCAUUUUGCGCACUAUUUUUGGAUAUGACUUUUAAGUCUUUGGAGACCAGUAUGAAGAAUUUAGUGCCAUCUAGUGGUGAGGUUGUCGAUUGCAUCCAAUUGAUAACCCUCUGCUCACAAAUCCGUUUCCAAGCGUUUCAGAAAAACUACGUUCUUGUAAGGGAAAGUAAAAAUGCAAAAGGCCCUCUCUAGAGUCAGUGUUUAGUUUGUUGAAAACUGGCAGUGUAACAUAUGAAGCACUCAUUCUCAUUCUUCACCAUCAAAAUCAUGGUUAUAAAUACUUAAUAAAUCCCCCCAUAUCCUACACAACACAUUAGGUCUUGCAUUAAAGUCUGUUAACCACACCCAUCCUCGUACCUGCCAGUUCCAGAUAACUUGUUAAAAGUAGUUUUAUCUGCCAACAGUAGGCCUAUUAGACUACUUGGAUAAAAGAGCAUAACUGUGAUGUUGCUUUCAGGUCUGAAGGCCAAAUACUUGAUCAGAUAACAUAGCACCUGUUUUUGGUGUUUAUGCGAGUGCACAGUCAGAUCUGAAAACCCUUUGAUUGCAAAGUAUCCUUGAGACCCUGUUUUUUCUCCUUACAUCUGUGAAUGCAUCACAUCUACUAACAAAUUAAAGUAACACUUGUAUUUCUUUCUUUUUAUGACAAAAUGUUAUGUUGUUAUACUGAGCAAUGUUUUUAUUUUUUUUAGAUAAUGCCAUAAGUAUUUUAUAACGUUUAAAUGUCACUGUAUGUGUGUUAUAGAGCUAUAUAAAAACGAUUUUCUAAUUAAAA